ACGAAAGUGAAAGUAGAUUCCGGAAAGCAAAUAUAACCUUAAAUUACUGAAUUUAAGUUUAAUUUGAUCGAUCAUUAGUCGAUCAUCAGUCACUUGAUUGGAAGUGAUGACCGAGUAUGAAUUUACAAGUGAUCCCCAAUACUAACGGUAUACUACAAGCAGGAAUGCAAGAACUGCAAGACAGCAUGUAACCCGUACAGAGUAGAAGACGUGAAGUGUCCUAAGUGUGGUAAGCCUGCUAAAGAAUGUCAUGGUAUGUGUGACGACUCCGACGACGACUAUGGAGGCAAUAGCGACUACGACUCCGACGACGGGGAUUCAAAAAAGCCUCACCGAGCGGACCUGUGUCAAAAGUGUCGAUCUGGCUGGCCGUGUAGGUAAAGGCUUGUCUAGCUCAGUUU